rnacentral:rRNA from 1 species
AGUUUGAUUCUGGCUCAGGAUGAACGCUAGCUACAGGCUUAACACAUGCAAGUCGAGGGGCAGCAUUUUAGUUUGCUUGCAAACUAAAGAUGGCGACCGGCGCACGGGUGAGUAACACGUAUCCAACCUGCCGAUAACUCGGGGAUAGCCUUUCGAAAGAAAGAUUAAUAUCCGAUAGUAUAUUAAAACCGCAUGGUUUUACUAUUAAAGAAUUUCGGUUAUCGAUGGGGAUGCGUUCCAUUAGUUUGUUGGCGGGGUAACGGCCCACCAAGACUACGAUGGAUAGGGGUUCUGAGAGGAAGGUCCCCCACAUUGGAACUGAGACACGGUCCAAACUCCUACGGGAGGCAGCAGUGAGGAAUAUUGGUCAAUGGACGAGAGUCUGAACCAGCCAAGUAGCGUGAAGGAUGACUGCCCUAUGGGUUGUAAACUUCUUUUAUAUGGGAAUAAAGUAUUCCACGUGUGGGAUUUUGUAUGUACCAUAUGAAUAAGGAUCGGCUAACUCCGUGCCAGCAGCCGCGGUAAUACGGAGGAUCCGAGCGUUAUCCGGAUUUAUUGGGUUUAAAGGGAGCGUAGGUGGAUUGUUAAGUCAGUUGUGAAAGUUUGCGGCUCAACCGUAAAAUUGCAGUUGAAACUGGCAGUCUUGAGUACAGUAGAGGUGGGCGGAAUUCGUGGUGUAGCGGUGAAAUGCUUAGAUAUCACGAAGAACUCCGAUUGCGAAGGCAGCUCACUAGACUGCAACUGACACUGAUGCUCGAAAGUGUGGGUAUCAAACAGGAUUAGAUACCCUGGUAGUCCACACAGUAAACGAUGAAUACUCGCUGUUUGCGAUAUACAGUAAGCGGCCAAGCGAAAGCAUUAAGUAUUCCACCUGGGGAGUACGCCGGCAACGGUGAAACUCAAAGGAAUUGACGGGGGCCCGCACAAGCGGAGGAACAUGUGGUUUAAUUCGAUGAUACGCGAGGAACCUUACCCGGGCUUAAAUUGCAUUUGAAUAAUCUGGAAACAGGUUAGCCGCAAGGCAAAUGUGAAGGUGCUGCAUGGUUGUCGUCAGCUCGUGCCGUGAGGUGUCGGCUUAAGUGCCAUAACGAGCGCAACCCUUAUCUUUAGUUACUAACAGGUCAUGCUGAGGACUCUAGAGAGACUGCCGUCGUAAGAUGUGAGGAAGGUGGGGAUGACGUCAAAUCAGCACGGCCCUUACGUCCGGGGCUACACACGUGUUACAAUGGGGGGUACAGAAGGCAGCUACCUGGUGACAGGAUGCUAAUCCCAAAAACCUCUCUCAGUUCGGAUCGAAGUCUGCAACCCGACUUCGUGAAGCUGGAUUCGCUAGUAAUCGCGCAUCAGCCAUGGCGCGGUGAAUACGUUCCCGGGCCUUGUACACACCGCCCGUCAAGCCAUGAAAGCCGGGGGUACCUGAAGUACGUAACCGCAAGGAGCGUCCUAGGGUAAAACUGGUAAUUGGGGCUAAGUCGUAACAAGGUACCC